GACGAACCGUGCGAACGUUGUUCGGAAUUACUGGGCGUAAAGGGCGCGUAGGCGGCCUUCUAAGUCGAACGUGAAAUCCCCGGGCUCAACCUGGGAACUGCAUUUGUGACUGCAUGGCUGGAGUGCGGCAGAGGGGGAUGGAAUUCCGCGUGUAGCAGUGAAAUGCGUAGAUAUGCGGAGGAACACCGAUGGCGAAGGCAAUCCCCUGGGCCUGCACUGACGCUCAUGCACGAAAGCGUGGGGAGCGAAACAAGG
rnacentral:rRNA from 1 species